AGAGUUUGAUCAUGGCUCAGAUUGAACGCUGGCGGCAUGCCUUACACAUGCAAGUCGAACGGUAACAGGUUAAGCUGACGAGUGGCGAACGGGUGAGUAAUAUAUCGGAACGUGCCCAGUCGUGGGGGAUAACUACUCGAAAGAGUAGCUAAUACCGCAUACGACCUGAGGGUGAAAGCGGGGGAUCGCAAGACCUCGCGCGAUUGGAGCGGCCGAUAUCAGAUUAGGUAGUUGGUGGGGUAAAAGCUCACCAAGCCAACGAUCUGUAGCUGGUCUGAGAGGACGACCAGCCACACUGGGACUGAGACACGGCCCAGACUCCUACGGGAGGCAGCAGUGGGGAAUUUUGGACAAUGGGCGCAAGCCUGAUCCAGCCAUGCCGCGUGCGGGAAGAAGGCCUUCGGGUUGUAAACCGCUUUUGUCAGGGAAGAAAAGGUUCUGGCUAAUACCCGGGACUCAUGACG
rnacentral:rRNA from 1 species